ensembl:lncRNA
CUGGCUGUGGAGCCUUUGGUUGGGGGUUCGGUCCCCCACUGUGCCUGCACUGGACAAUAUGUCGGGUCCCUUCCAGUUCCCCGGUUCCAAGAUAUACAGGAAUCAUCACUUUGUCCCAGGAAAUGGGAUAACGUUCCAGGCCAUCCUGCUUGUUGUUUCUCUGUUAGGAAUCUUGCUUGUUAAUAGUGUUGACUCUGGCACCCCCUGCUGCCGUCCCGGCGCUUAAUAUGGAUGCCAAGGAUGGGCUUGUUUGUUUUCUGUAGAGGCAUCCAUCUUUCUCCCGGUUACCUCAGGCACAGAAUGUGGCAGGAUCUCCUCUCACCGGCCCAAAGGCUCAAAUUUUGGCCCCAACCCAGUUCCUGCCUCCAAAUGCAUUUCCUUCUUCGGGUGAAGCUCUGAGUGUCGGUGCCGGAACCGCAGGGUCCUUGGCUGUGCAGGCAGGAAUCUCACAGGUACGUCCUGCAGUGAAUCCGGAGGAGCCCAAGACCUCUUUUAUGGGUCUCGGGGCUUCCAGACAAGGCCUCGUUCGUAGAGCUGUAUGGGAGGCCUCGGUGGUGUGUGACUUGUGUUUGACCGUUGGCUUCCUCCUUGUUUCGGUGGCCAGAUGGAUUUUGAACAUCCUUCUCAUAACAGUCUCUUUCUUAGCAGGGCCAGUUUCCUGGUGCAGCUGUUCCUCCCCUCAGACCACACUACGGCCGGCUCUCCGACCCUGCGCUUCCCGCCGCCGUUCCUUCGGCCAGCGUGCUCAUUCCUUGGCCCCAGGCUCCUCUGUGGUUUGCCACUCCGCAGGCAGCGGUCGCUGCUGGUCAGACAGGACCGAAAUCCUUCGUUGGCAUGAUACCCAUCCCAGCAGCCGGCCUGGAUCCGGUUGUGGCAUGGACGCCAAGCGUGCUUUCCUUGAGGCAACCAAGAGAGAGAAACAAGGGCGUAAAUAGCAGCACAGCUCAUGACCCCAGGGCGGUCUCCGCCUGCGCCAAUCCCGGGACUGUUUUGGCUCCUGUCAGCUCUGGACCCUUAGCCCAGGCCGGUGCAAAUCAAAUGCAUGUGGUGGCAGGAGGAAGAAGAGACCAAGAAACGAGUGUGAUCUCAGAGCCGCCUUUCCCAACUUCACUGGGGACUGCAAACCUAUUAAUGAAAGAUGGCACCAGUUACAGCAUUCCAGGAAACCCCACUGGCAGUGUAUCAGGCUCCGGAUUUCCUUCAGAUCCUGGAGUGAGAAGAACCUGGCGCGAGGAAAUUACACUGGAGGAGCGCCACCACUUAGUACAGAAGUUGUAAGUAUAGUUCAAGGAUGCGGACCCUGCCCAUUGGGAUCAGGUGUGUCUGUGGCAUGCAUCACAGUGUGUGGGCUCUUGAGUUUUGAAGGUUGGGGCUUCGAGCAUACAGUACGAUCCUUUAUUCUCCGGAUCAAUAUCCACUGAUUCCCUUAUCCACGGUCUGAAAAUAUUAAAAAUAUUGAAAGAUCCCCAAAAAAGUAAGUAUAGUUCAAGGAUGCGGACCCUGCCCAUUGGGAUCAGGUGUGUCUGUGGCAUGCAUCACAGUGUGUGGGCUCUUGAGUUUUGAAGGUUGGGGCUUCGAGCAUACAGUACGAUCCUUUAUUCUCCGGAUCAAUAUCCACUGAUUCCCUUAUCCACGGUCUGAAAAUAUUAAAAAUAUUGAAAGAUCCCCAAAAUACUGUAUAUAUAUUUAAUGAUGAAGUUCCCAGAACUGGCCAGAAGAGGGAGCCAAAGGCCAUGCUGUGUAUACAGUAGUUUUCUAUUAAAAUAGUGUUUGCUAUAAUCCACAUUUUUCAGCAUCCACGGGGCGGGGGACUAGAAACCAAUCCCCUGAGGAUACUGGGUCAUACUAUAUUAUGAAAGGCUGAAGGGAGAUGAAGUGUGCGGUCAAGGAUUCUGAUGCUUGAGCCAUACAGGACUUUAUAGACCUCCUCUGAAAAAAAAUCAGAAGCCUGCAUUCAUCACAGUUGGCAUUUCUCAGAGUUCAGGGUUAAUCACAGAACAAAAUCAAACAAUCUCAGACAAUCCUAUCAACAUUCAUCUGAGUAUCAAAGUAUAAGUCAUCUUAUUGUUCAGUAAUUACAGGCAAUAAAGGGAGAUGAAGUGGUACA